UACGUAGGUGGCAAGCGUUGUCCGGAUUUACUGGGCGUAAAGAGCGCGCAGGCGGUCGAUCAAGUCGCGUGUGAAAGCCCCCGGCUCAACUGGGGAGGGUCACGCGAUACUGAUCGACUCGAAGGCAGGAGAGGGUAGUGGAAUUCCCGGUGUAGUGGUGAAAUGCGCAGAUAUCGGGAGGAACACCAAUGGCGAAGGCGAGCUU
rnacentral:rRNA from 1 species